GGCGAAACCAUGACGUCACUCACUGUAUCUGACUGUAUGCAGAACGUUCCACUGAGCGCGUGCUCUGAGCACAUGGAAAAGAGGUUGAGAUUUAGCUGCUUGCAAAGUGCGGUAUUGUGAGCUGCGGAGACAUUUCCACGUCAGAAAUGGAAUAUAAAUGUUCACGCAAUAUGUGGGAAUAUCCGAAGAGAGGACGGCGACGAAGGCAGACUAGACGACGAUUUGAGCUAGGAAGGCUCACAUUCUGUGGAGGCUUUCAUGGUUGCAUACAGAAUAAAAAUCCACAUGUUCCAAGUGGAAGGGAUUUCCAAAACCUCCAAGGGAUUAGUGGGAGUACAGUGAGCACUCAGAAGAUGGCUUUGAAAACCCAGAGAUGGAAACCUCUAGAAAGAGUUGCUCCUCUGAAGGAAUUUUGCUAGGGGUGUGAAGCAGCUUUGAUUUUAGCACUGUUCACCUCCCAGUCCAGCACCAUGGGGAUACCACUAACAAACGGCCCUUGGAACAAGCACGUGCCAUUGUAUUUCCUUGCUGGGGGAUUUACAACAGAACUGUGGGCUUUCAAGCCUUUUGGCGCAGGUCUGAAACUGCACAUGAACCUUCACCUUGCACACAGAGUGGUAUUUGUCAGGAUGAGGACUUGGAUGGUGGUAGCCAAGCACGAAAACAGAAGCUACUUCCUUGUCUGUAACUGCAGAUCUGGAGAUCUUAGAAUGCCCAUAUUGAUGUGUAGUGCUACACCUCCAUCUGUUAUAUUGUUCCUGUGUCUUCAAAAUGGUUUGUAUCAACUUGUUCAUACUUCAUGUUAGCAAUGUUUCUGUGAUUGUAGUUGAAUCAAAAUCUUCUGUUAAUGUUGUAACUCCUUCUACUUUAAUUUAACUAUUUUAUUGUCUCUGUCUCUGGAUUGUCAGAUUGCUCUUGGUACAUUAAGUUUGUUGUUAAACUCCUAUUACAGUUGUGUUCCCAUUAAAAGUGGGUUGUGUGAUAGGACAUCAGUUAAAUGGAGAGAACAGAAAAAAAAAAUCAUAAUCCUGGAAAAGUGGAUGUAUCUUUAAAGAAUACAUGUGAAACUUUCUCACAUGUAUGCUGUUGAUUUUGACAGUUGGUAGAAUGGAGCUGAAAGUGAACAGAGUCAUUCCAAGAGCUGUCUGACCAGUUUUGUUACUGAAGAAGUACUCAUUGCGUUUUGCUGUUUCUGUACUUUGGGGACAAACUGAAAAUGAGAGUGUGAAUUACCAGUUGAUUUUAAAGAAAGAAUAAUACUACAAGGAAAGAACAGAACAGUUAUUUUUGGCUACAGUUAUGGAAUAAAAGGGUUUUAAUAAACAAAAAGUAUAUAGAAUGAUACAGUAAAUAUAAUUUUAUAGGUUUAUAGAAGCCUUUUGUUUUUGCUUUUUGCCCAGUCUUUAUAUAAAUCAUGAUAUUUUCAUGGACAUACAUUGUAGUGUAAGUUAAAUUAAAUUUAUAUGACUCACAGAAUAAAAAAACGGGGUAUAUGACUAACUAGUGAAUCAGACAAUUCACCCACUUUUCCAGCCCUGUUAAAAGAAAUUAGAGCUUUAAAGAAUGAGCUGCAGGCAUUAAGUUUAGGACACAAAUGAAGCAAGACAGCUGAUUUUCGUCAGUAAGAGGGGUUAUUUGAGUUUAUUCUUUAGCUUCAUAUGCAGAAUUCCAUGAAAGGAGCAUAACAGGUUCUUCAGCUCAAAACUUCAAGGAUUCGUUUUUUUUUUCUAAACGAAAGCAGCAGCUCAUAUGCUUGGGAUUUAAUAUGUAGGAUUCUUGUUUCUUUGUAAAUUAAAGAUUAAAAUGACAAUUACUUUUAAAGGCACUUUUAUACAUUUUUUUUUGUUAAAACCAAGAUAGCUUUGCUUUACCUCUAAUUAUUUAAUGAUGUCUUUUUGUAUUCAUUCAAAAAUGGGUUAUUGUGAAGCUGAUGCCUUUCCACAGCUCAAACAGCUUUUCGCACUGUUAUACAUUCUUGUAUUUUUACAUUUCUUUAAUUAAAAAUGUUAGAGAUCUGAAGUGUCUGAACCAGUUAUUUGCUCUUUAGUCCUCCAGCCAUUGAUAUUUUGGUUCUCAUUGGAUGUGAAGCAUUGAUUCAUUCAGAAGAAACGUCUGACACAAUUAUGUUAUGCAUAAGUAGGCCUUUGUUUACAAGAUGUAAAAAGAGCUCAAAGAUCAGCAAUCACAAUAAUUUGUGCUAUGAGAGGAAUGUUGUGUACACAGUUUAAGUGAAAUUAAUAUCCUUAGUUGUGAACACAGAGAUUACAAAAGAACAUACAGCAAAAUAAAGAUAAAAUCAGCCCAGUGGAACAUUUAUGGAUUACUUCAUUCAACAGUUAAAAAAUAACAAUGUAGAAAACAUGAGGAAGUGUAUUGUGUUCUGCAAAAAGGAAGCAGAGUCACUGACUGUUUCUAAUUGUGCGUACUGUACAUUCAAUUUGGAAUCACCAGUUAUUUUAAAGUUCAGCCCUGGGAAUAACUCGCCUACUCACUUGUGAAAGAAUGAGACGUAUAGACAUACAGUACUCCUUCUAAAUGUCCAGCUGCAGGGAUAUUCGUCUUCGGACAUGCUGUGAACUUCAUAUUACCUAGAGAAGGCACUGAUUGGAGGAGUGGAAUGUCUCUCACUGACAUCACUGGAUGCCUGUAGAUUUUGAGAAAAUCAUAAGGCCUGCAUUUUUUUCAGAAAAUCAGGUCCAAA
ensembl:lincRNA